AAAGAAGAGGUCAUAUGAACACAGGAAAAUGGUAGCUGCCUGCAAGCCAAGGGAAGAGGACUCAUGAGGAAACCUGUCUUGCUGGCACCUUGAUCUUGGACAUUCCACCCUCCAGAACUGCCCUAGUUCAAUGGAGGAUAUCUUUGAAGAGCUACACCUGCUGCAGAUCAACCCAUGGGACUGGCUGAGUGUUUGUUUUUAUAACAGCACUGCAGAUCGACUUUCCCUCUGCCCAACUCUGCUUCUUUGACCCUCUUAAAGCAAAGCCACAAUAUCUGAAGCAGAGAAUUAC
rnacentral:lncRNA from 1 species